UUUAACGUAAGUAUAUUUUAGAUUACGAGUUUAUAUCUGAAUCAGAAAAUGUGACAACACUAGAUGCGUUACCAGCUAAAUCAAAGCAGAAAUAUGAGAAACAGUAUCAGCUUUUUGAUACUUGGAGGAAAGAAAAAUGUUUCGAAGGCGUUAAUGAGGAAAUGAUGAUGGAGUACCUCCAGGGCUUUGGUGAAGUUUAUAAACCUUCUUAUUUGUGGACCAGAUUAUCAAUGUUAAAAACCACAUUGAAGGCGUAUGAGAACGUGGACAUAUCAAGCUUUUCCUCUCUGUUUGCUUAUUUGAAAGGAAAAACCAAAUAUCACAAAGCAAAUAAAGCGAAAGCAUUAGAAGGAUGGGACAUACAAGAUUUUUUAACACAAGCUCCCGAUAGCACUUAUUUACUUAUGAAAGUAGUUUUAAUAAUAGGAAUUUCAGGAGGUUGUAAUUGUGAAGAACUAACCAAAUUAACUGUAGACAACAUCGAAGAUAAAGGAUCACACUUAUUAGUAACUUUACCGACUCAUACGGAAAAUAAACCUCGUAAAUUUAUUGUUAUCAACGAUACUUUUGGUAUGGAUGUUCUAGGAUUUUACUAUAAAUACCUUUCUCUUCGUCCUGCUAAUCUUACUCAUAACAGAUUAUUUUUGAGUUAUAAAAAAGGCAAAUGUACAGUUCAUCCUGUUGGCGUCAAUUCGCUCUCCAAAAUUCCCAGAGAGAUUGCCACGUAUUUAAAAUUGCCGGAUGCCGAUAUUUAUACUGGCCAUAGUUUUAGGCGUUCGGCAGUAACCCUUUUAGCCCAUACAUAGAUGCUUAUAUUUUCCGUGUCUGCUAUUUGAAACUAUCAGUAGUAAUUACACGAGUCUCUAAAAUUAUCGAUUUGUAUCCCGAGUGACACUUUGACAGUUUUAAUUUCACGACCUGAAGGGAAGCACUAAUGCACCCUGUGCCUAGGGACUAAUUUACUCCUUUCUUAAAACCGCACCCCCUUAAAUGGUAGCACUCUGCGGUUUUUUCAUGUUUAAUGGUUUAUUCAGAGCCCCCGUAAGAGGUACUGGCGCCUGUGUGCAAAAAAGGAUUUUGGCAUUUUAGAUCAUGGCAUUAAGGCAUUUUAUUAAUGCUUAAGGCAUUUUGGAUCAUGUUUUUUAUUUAUUUUUUGAAGGUAGGUAGGUGCUUGAAAUAAACCAGAAAACUGAACUUUAGAAUGUCAUUGUGAGUUUCACCCGUUCUCUGGGGUGAAAAAACAUACGUUCAAAAAAUACUUUUCAAUACUCUGUCAAUACGUUUCAAGUUAUUUGCGAAUAAAUUUAUGUUCAUUUUUGAAUAAAAAAAAACAAGUUUUUAGACGGAUUUUCGCAAAUAACUCAAAAAGUAAGUAUUACAUCAAAAAAAAAUAUAGCUUAUAAAAAAAUGAAAAAAAAAUGGUGUAAGUACCUAUGUAUGAAGUCUGCAAACCCCGUAGAAGCACAGUUGUAUAUGAUGAAAAGGAGGUUCUUAUUCGUCAAAUUACAAAUCAAAUAUUUCAACGUAAAAUAACCAAAAAAUCAAGCACUUAUCAGGGAAAACUCGUUACAACUUUUUUAAAGUGUUUAAAAUAAGCUAUAUUUUAACAUCAAAAGUAAGUACAGUCGGAAAAAUGAAAGAAUACCCAUGAACGAUCACAUCAAUCACUUAUUUUGUAUUUGCUGUCUUUUUCUAUACGUAACAAACAUUUGUUAUAGAAAAAGAUAGCAACUAUAAAAUAAGUGAUUGAUGUGAUCGUUCAUGGGUAUUCUUUCAUUUUUCCGACUGUACGUAAGUUAAAAAUAUUGUUGGUCCCUUUUUUGGUACAAAAAUCAUGAUAACCAUCCUCUAAGUAGCAUCCCAAAUGAAAUUAAUCGUUACCGCUUCACCACAAGUUUCGUCGGUUCAACGUGCUUAUUUUUGAAAAGGCUGUAGUUAAAAGGGCGAAAGGGCUGAACGAGUCACUAAUCAUGAGUGUAUGCAAAAUUUGAACAGCCAUGUCUUUCAAUUUUUGUCUUACAGGAAAAUAAAACAUCCAAAAUAUUCAGAAAAGCAAAAUCUACAUUUUUUUACUUCUUGAGAUUUUUGGCAUCACUAAUUAAUUUUAAAGUUAUUUGGAAAAAAAUAUUUUUUCAAGAUUGAAAAAAAAUUACUUUAAAACCAAAUUUUUUCAAAAAUGGGAACUUUAAACCGAUGAAACUUACAGAUCAUAUAAAUAAAGAUUUUCUUAAACAUUUUAAAGAAGUUGUAAUGAGUUUUCCCCGUUAAGUGCUUAAUUUUUGGUUAUUUCACGUUGAAAUAGUCGAUUUGGAAUUUGACGAAUAAGAACCUACUUUUCAUUAGCUACAACUCUGCUUUCUACUGGGUUUCGCAGAUUUCAUAUUAUUAUAUCAUGCAUUUUUUCACUUUCUUGUAAGCUAUAUUUUUGCUAAGAGUAUUUUUUCGAUAAAAUAAUUAGUUUUUAAUUGCGAAAAACCGUCUAAAAACCCCUAAGAAUAUCCCUUUUACCCCUAGAGUAAAAGCACACAUCGGUACAGUAGGUAUCACUUCUUGUCUUUUUAGCUAUGUGUAUGACAAGUUUUAUGUCAAGAUAAGCGGUUCUUUAAAAUUUAAGUACAACUAAAACCGUGAGUAAAUGGACUAUUAUUAGUAGGCUAAAAUAUCAAAAUGAACCAAACAGAAUAAAAUCAUAAGAAAAUAAAUUAAAAUGCCUGACUACCUGAAUAUACUAAUAAAAUUUCGUGUGUGUUUAAACUGAAUCCUAUUUAAUUUCUCAACUUUUAUUUUAAAAUUAAUUUUUGUUUCUCUGCAUUUUUUGCAAUUUUUGACCCCAUGUUUUGGCGCCCCUAAAGGAUGGCGCCCGUGUGCAUUGCACACUUUGCACAUAUGAUAGCGGGGGCCUGGGUUUAUUGACCAUAUGAAACAAUAAAACCCCGUUAACUCUUUAGUUUCUUUCUUAAAUGCAUAAUCAAUACCUAGCCUAACAUUUGUUUCUUUCUGCUAUUAGAUCUUUUAAAUUUUUUCAGAUUACUUUUUUCAUUUCUUUUAUUACGUUUAAUUAUGAUAUCAGUGGUUUCAUGUGUGAUGCUUUUGCCUAGCAAUGCUUCAAGAGCAAUGCGAGUGAUCGCUCUAUUUGAUUGAGUACUGCACAGUAUGUUCCUUUUGUUGAAAAUAUUUUAUAAUUACAAAAUCGAUCCAAUUUUUUGUAAUUCCAAUUUGAAAUAGCACAUUAUGACGUCUUUGAGACGGUAAGAUAAUUAGAGAUUUAGAGGGUAAUAGAAAGUAGGUAUACUACUCAAGGUGGUUGAAGGUAUAGAAAGUAUACUACUCAUCUUAAAUAAAUUACUAAUUUUCAAUAUUAUUAGUUAUAAGAUUCGAGAAUAUUCGAAAUUUUUUAAACUAUGCACCUGAAUAAAAGUUUAAAAAUCUUAACCUUUUUUUAUUUAUUCUUUCAUUCCUUCGUAAUUUCAAAAUAUUUAGAAAACAAACAGACGUGUGUAUAACCUUCAAAACACUAUUAAAUCUAAGGGUACGUAUCCAUACAAGGGUGAUCCCUUGUAUGGAUAACCAUUUGAAGGGUUAUUUAAUUCUGUAUUCAUGAAUACAGAAUUGUAUGAACAAAUGACACUAUAAACAUUAACAUCAAUAUUUUUACAGGGUUUAAAAGAUUUUUUUUUAUUAAAUUAAUUGACACAAAAAGAAGAAUGUAUGUAAUUUCUUUAAUUCAGAAUACAUUUUACUGCUGUCAGUAAACAGAAAAAAUUGUUUAUUUGCCAAAUAAACAUUGAUUUCGCUUAAAUUCCAUGUCGAGUUGCCACCCACCUGCCUCUUGGCAGUUUGAACAUUUAAUUUAAGCCAAAGGAAUUGUUUCUUGUCAAACAAAUAUUUUUUCCCCUUAUAUGUAGCAGUAAAAUGUAUCUUGAAUUAAAUAAAUUACGUACAUUCUUCUUUUUGUGUCAAUUAAUUAAUUCAAAAACAUCUUUUUGGACACAGUGUAUAAAUUCUGUUAAUGUUUAUAUUACUAUAUAGAGAAUUGAACAACGUUUCAAAUGAGCCAGCACACGACCCCUAUUCUCAUUUAAAAAAAUCAUCUAUUACAUCAUCACGCCCAGAUGCAUGACAUCACUAGUAAGAUAUAGGUAUAUGCCAAAAAAUCAUAAUAAAUUAAAAUCGACCUAUUUCGGGAUUUUUUCUUAAAAUCGCUGCCUCCAAAAUGACGAAUGUAUGUCAAACAUUUGCACCAUACUGUAUAAUGAACCUAAGCUACAACUAGGAAAUUGUUUCUAUACCGGCCAGUAGUUCAAAACUAGGUAAUAAAUCUAAACACACACACACACAAACCUACCUGUGCAAGUUUUGCGAAAUCAUUAAAAUCAAUGUGUCGAACUCUCUGUAUCGCGAUUUCUGUAUCGCGCCCUAAAACAUGCAAACCUCUCAAAUAUUUCAAAACCUUUGUUUCUCACAGACUCGCUUAGCUCUCUUCUUGCAAUGAAGCAUCUGUAUCCUAAAAGUCCUUUAGAGAAACUAAUAAAAACUGAACUACAAAUUGCCUAAGAGAACAACACGACUCCGAAAUUUAUAUGGAUCCCAUCACAUAUAGGAAUUAUAGGCAAUGAAGAGGCAGACAGAAGUUCUCGUAAUGCGGCAACAAGUGCAGAAUCUGAAUUAGUGCGCGAAUGUGUAUGUAAUGACCUCAAAACGUUUUUUAAAGAAAAAGUGAUUGGUCAGUGGCAACGCGAAUUGUUUCUGUCGCAAUCUAAACUAAGAUCGGUAAAACCAGAUACACGACAGUGGAAAAUGAGUGCUAGUUCACGGUUUAUUCAAACGGUUCUAACGCGCCUACGUAUAGGACACACCAAGAUUCAUAUUUACUUUCGGCCAGUGAACUUCCCAUGUGCGACCUAUGUGCUACGCCUCUUACCGUCACCCAUCUGUUAAUUGAGUGUCCAAAAUAUCAAAGUGAGCGUUCAAUAAACAAUCUACCAAACACUCUACCAACUUUAUUAGCAGAAAACUGCGCAAUAAAAGACUUACUAAACUAUCUGAUUUCAAUCAAUAUUUUGUAUCAAAUCUAGUUAUUUGUUAUUUGUUAAAAACCAUUGUUAACCUUUGUAAUGCCGCUAAUUCCUGUUGGUGGAUGCGGUAAUUUUCUUUAAUAAAAAAAUGUGUCGAUUGUGACAUUUUAGGAAAUUUUUUAACCUAAGUAAAUUUUAGAUGACGAGUUCAUGUCUGAAUCAGAAAAUGUGGCAACAUUAGAUGCGGUACCAGCUAAAUCAAAGCAGAAAUAUGAAAAACAGUUUCAGCUUUUUGAUACUUGGAGGAAAGAGAAAUGUUUCGAAGGCGUUACUGAGGAAAUGAUGAUGGAGUACCUCCAGAGCAUUGGUGAAGUUUAUAAACCUUCUUCUUUGUGGACCAGAUUAUCAAUGUUAAAAGCCACAUUGAAGGCGUAUGAGAAUGUGGACAUAUCAAGCUUUUCCUCUCUGUUUGCUUAUUUGAAAGGAAAAAGCAAACAUCACAAAGCAAAGAAAUCGAAAGCACUAAACGCAUGGCAAAUACAACAUUUUUUAACAGAAGCUCCCGAUAGCACUUAUUUACUUAUGAAAGUAGUUUUAAUAAUAGGAAUUUCAGGAGGCUGUUGUUGUGAAGAACUAACCAAACUAACUUUAGAUAACAUAGAAGAUAAAGGAUCACACUUAUUAGUAACUUUACCAACUCAUACAGAAAAUAAGCCUCGUAAAUUUAUUGUUAUCAACGAUACUUUUGGUAUGGAUGUUCUCGGAUUUUACUAUAAAUACCUUUCUCUUCGUCCUGCUAAUCUUACUCAUAACAGAUUAUUUUUGAAUUAUAGAAAAGAUAAAUUUACGGUUCAGCCUGUUGGCAUCCAUACGCUCUCCAAAUUUCCCAAAGAGAUUGCCACGUAUUUAAACUUACCGGAUUCAGAUACUUAUACUGGUCAUUGUUUUAGGCGUACGGCAGUAACCCUUUUGGCCCAUACAUAGACUCUUAUAUUUUUCGUGUGUGCUGUUUGAAAUUAUCUUAGUUGAGUCUUGAGCUUCCUAUAACCAAUUCCCAACAACCCUUUUUGACUUCGUUCGUCCAUAGUGUAGGCGGUCUACCUCUACUUCUUCUGAAUGCUCGUGGCCUCCAAAUUAAUUUUUUGAGUCCUUCUCCCGUCGUUCAUUCCGACCACAUGGAGCGCCCAAUUCUACUUCAGCCAUGCGAUUCGCUUUAUGAAAUCUGUGACGCCUGGCAUUCUUCUGAUUUCUGAGGUCAAACUGGCAACAAAUUAUUUAUUAAAAUCAGCUAAGUACUUUCGGCAUGGUACAUAUCAUCUUCAGAGCUUCGUCUUAUAAACAUGUAGGUUAUAAAUGCCUCAUAGAAGAUUAAUUGUCAAUAUACAACAUAUUAAAAAUUAGAUACAGGGCUAAAGCCUCUGUUCUUAGGGUGAAAACCCCUUCAAAUAUAAAGUAAUGGCUACCACAUGGUACCAGGAACAGUAACAGCUAUGGUUCAUUGUAACAGCUGUUCCUGGUCAUCAUCCUUUUUCUCACCUCUGUUGUUCUUUUUCUUCUUCUUUUACUUCGUGGAGAUCUUUCGAUCUGUUUAAUUCUGAAGCUGCCUCUGGUUAAUUUCCUGGGAGGUAGAUUGCCAACUAUCCAUCCAUCUUUUAGGUGGUCUUGAACCGGUCGGGUUAUUUUCUAGGGCAAUUUGUGGGAGUCUAUUCUCAUCAAUUCGUCAUACAUGGUUGUACCAUGUAAGGUACCAUGUUGUACCUCUGUUGUUACUAUGUUUUAAUUUCUAAUCCGAGGCUGUUCACCAGUUCUUUGAGUAUCUGUUCAUCUUUUAUGUAUGAUAGGUCGCCACCCUAACCCUAAAAAUGAAUCAUUUCUAUAAUAAUUAUAUCUGGUCAGUGUUAAUUUCUGAUAUUUUCUCUAACCUCCCUUCUGAUAUAUUUGUUCAUUUCAUGUAGUUCUUCAGUAAUUUCACCAUUUGUUUCUUUCUACUAUUAGAUCUUUUAAAUUCUUUCAGAUUACUUUUUUAUUGCUUCUAUUACUUUUAGUUAUACCAGUGGUUUCAUGGUGAUGCUUCUGCUUAGCAAUGCUUCACGAACAACGCGAGUGAUGGCUCAUAUCUACUUGAUUGUGAACUGUACAGUAUGUUUCUUUUAUUGAAAAUAUUUAUAAUUACAAAAUCUAUCCUAUUUUUUGUAAAACCCAAUUUGAAAUAGCACAUAGUAACGUAUCCUGGUAUUGCUUUUAGUAUAAUUACUUCUCUUCCAAGUUUACUAAAUACACGUUUUACUAAUUUAGGGAUUUAGAAGGUAGAAGUUUCAAUAUUAUUAGGUGUAAUUUAUAAUAUAGUUAUAAGAUUCUAGUAUAUAUUCGAAAAUUGUUUCAGCCGAAUAAAGUCUAAAAAUCUUAAA